UUUAUUGAGAGUUUGAUCCUGGCUCAGGACGAACGCUGGCGGCGUGCCUAACACAUGCAAGUCGAACGAGAAUCGGGAGCUUGCUCCUGAGGACAGUGGCGGACGGGUGAGUAACGCGUGAGCAAUCUGCCUUUCGGUGGGGGACAACAGCUGGAAACGGCUGCUAAUACCGCAUAAUGUAUCGGGGUGGCAUCUCCCUGAUACCAAAGAUUUAUUGCCGAAAGAUGAGCUCGCGUCUGAUUAGUUAGUUGGUGAGGUAAUGGCUCACCAAGACUUCGAUCAGUAGCCGGACUGAGAGGUUGAACGGCCACAUUGGGACUGAGAUACGGCCCAGACUCCUACGGGAGGCAGCAGUGGGGAAUAUUGGGCAAUGGGGGAAACCCUGACCCAGC
rnacentral:rRNA from 1 species